AGCUCUGUUCCCUGGCUUCAGCCAUUAGAUGCAUGGAGACCUAGGUAAUUUGUGCAUUCACAAAUGAAAGUGUUCUAGGAAUACUGUGGAAAGAAACAAAAGUACUGUAGUCUAAUAAGGCCACAGAUAUCCCUUCUGUAUGUCUAGCCCUCUAAAAGACGUUCUCCCCAAGAAGCAAACAAGGGACCCCAUUAGUGGAGAGCUUUCAUCUGGCCACAUCACAUCAGAGCCAGAUGCACCAUGUAUGCAAACUUUUUUAGAUCUUUUCUGUCUAAGAGAGAAUUUUCCUAUGUAAACAGACUGUUUUGCUUGUCUAUUGAUGUGAACAAAUUACCUCUAGGCUUAGUAGUUGAAAAUAAAAUCACCACCAACACCA
rnacentral:lncRNA from 1 species